GAUGAACGCUGGCGGCGUGCCUAAUACAUGCAAGUCGAGCGAAUGGAUUAAGAGCUUGCUCUUAUGAAGUUAGCGGCGGACGGGUGAGUAACACGUGGGUAACCUGCCCAUAAGACUGGGAUAACUCCGGGAAACCGGGGCUAAUACCGGAUAACAUUUUGAACCGCAUGGUUCGAAAUUGAAUGGCGGCUUCGGCUGUCACUUAUGGAUUGACCCGAGUCGCAUUAGCUAGUUGGUGAGGUAACGGCUCACCAAGGCAACGAUGCGUAGCCGACCUGAGAGGGUGAUCGGCCACACUGGGACUGAGACACGGCCCAGACUCCUACGGGAGGCAGCAGUAGGGAAUCUUCCGCAAUGGACGAAAGUCUGACGGAGCAACGCCGCGUGAGUGAUGAAGGCUUUCGGGUCGUAAAACUCUGUUGUUAGGGAAGAACAAGUGCUAGUUGAAUAAGCUGGCACCUUGACGGUACCUAACCAGAAAGCCACGGCUAACUACGUGCCAGCCGCCGCCGUAA
rnacentral:rRNA from 1 species